rnacentral:rRNA from 1 species
UACGUAGGAUGCAAGCGUUGUCCGGAAUUAUUGGGCGUAAAGAGCUCGUAGGCGGCCUGUUGCGUCCGCUGUGAAAGCCCGGGGCUUAACCCCGGGUCUGCAGUGGAUACGGGCAGGCUAGAGGUAGGUAGGGGAGAAUGGAAUUCCCGGUGUAGCGGUGAAAUGCGCAGAUAUCGGGAGGAACACCGGUGGCGAAGGCGGUUCUCUGGGCCUUACCUGACGCUGAGGAGCGAAAGCGUGGGGAGCGAACAGG